rnacentral:piRNA from 1 species
UGUAAACAAACCUAUUGUACUGCCAGACGUA